GGGGAAUUUUGGACAAUGGGCGCAAGCCUGAUCCAGCCAUGCCGCGUGUCUGAAGAAGGCCUUCGGGUUGUAAAGGACUUUUGUUAGGGAAGAAAAGGAUAGUGUUAAUACCAUUAUCUGCCGACGGUACCUAAAGAAUAAGCACCGGCUAACUACGUGCCAGCAGCCGCGGUAAUACGUAGGGUGCGAGCGUUAAUCGGAAUUACUGGGCGUAAAGCGAGCGCAGACGGUUUAUUAAGCAAGAUGUGAAAUCCCCGAGCUUAACUUGGGAACUGCGUUUUGAACUGGUAAGCUAGAGUAUGUCAGAGGGGGGUAGAAUUCCACGUGUAGCAGUGAAAUGCGUAGAGAUGUGGAGGAAUACCGAUGGCGAAGGCAGCCCCCUGGGAUAAUACUGACGUUCAUGCUCGAAAGCGUGGGUAGCAAACAGGAUUAGAUACCCUGGUAGUCCACGCCCUAAACGAUGUCAAUUAGCUGUUGGGCAACAUGAUUGCUUAGUAGCGUAGCUAACGCGUGAAAUUGACCGCCUGGGGAGUACGGUCGCAAGAUUA
rnacentral:rRNA from 1 species